AAUAGAUACCCAGGUAGUCCACGCCGUAAACGGUGGGUGCUAGGUGUGGGAGACUAUCUACGUUUUCCGCGCCGCAGCUAACGCAUUAAGCACCCCGCCUGGGGAGUACGGCCGCAAGGCUAAAACUCAAAGGAAUUGACGGGGGCCCGCACAAGCGGCGGAGCAUGCGGCUUAAUUCGAUGCAACGCGAAGAACCUUACCUAGGCUUGACAUAUACGGGAAGCAGGCAGAGAUGUCUGUGCCUUCGGGCUCGUAUACAGGUGGUGCAUGGCUGUCGUCGGCUCGUGUCGUGAGAUGUUGGGUUAAGUCCCGCAACGAGCGCAACCCUCGUCCUAUGUUGCCAGCGGGUAAUGCCGGGGACUCAUAGGAGACUGCCGGGGUCAACUCGGAGGAAGGUGGGGACGACGUCAAGUCAUCAUGCCCCUUACGUCUAGGGCUGCACGCAUGCUACAAUGGCCGGUACAAAGGGCUGCAAUACCGCAAGGUUGAGCGAAUCCCAAAAAGCCGGUCUCAGUUCGGAUUGGGGUCUGCUAACCG
rnacentral:rRNA from 1 species